AGAGUUUGAUCCUGGCUCAGGAUGAACGCUGGCGGCGCGCCUAACACAUGCAAGUCGAACGGUUAAGGCCCCCUUUAGGGGGCGCAUAGAGUGGCGAACGGGUGAGUAACACGUGACCAACCCGCCCCCCCCACCGGGACAACCUCGGGAAACCGAGGCUAAUACCGGAUACGCCGGGGCCCCCGCAUGGGGGCUCCGGGAAAGCCUUGGCGGGAGGGGACGGGGUCGCGGCCCAUCAGGUAGACGGCGGGGCGAAGGCCCGCCGUGCCGACGACGGGUAGCCGGGCUGAGAGGCCGAUCGGCCACAUUGGGACUGAGACACGGCCCAGACUCCUACGGGAGGCAGCAGUGGGGAAUAUUGCGCAAUGGGGGGAACCCUGACGCAGCGACGCCGCGUGCGGGAAGGAGGCCUUCGGGUCGUAAACCGCUUUCAGCAGGGAAGAAGCCUGACGGUACCUGCAGAAGAAGCCCCGGCUAACUACGUGCCAGCAGCCGCGGUAAUACGUAGGGGGCGAGCGUUAUCCGGAUUCAUUGGGCGUAAAGCGCGCGCAGGCGGCCCGCCAAGCGGCCUCGUCGAAGCCGGGGGCUCAACCCCCGGAAGCGACCCGAACUGGCGGGCUCGAGUGGGGCAGGGGAGGAUGGAAUUCCCGGUGUAGCGGUGAAAUGCGCAGAUAUCGGGAGGAACACCGACGGCGAAGGCAGCCCUCUGGGCCUUCACUGACGCUGAGGCGCGAAAGCUGGGGGAGCGAACAGGAUUAGAUACCCUGGUAGUCCCAGCCGUAAACGAUGGGCGCUAGGUGCGGGGGGACACGACCCUCCGUGCCGCAGCCAACGCAUUAAGCGCCCCGCCUGGGGAGUACGGCCGCAAGGCUAAAACUCAAAGGAAUUGACGGGGGCCCGCACAAGCAGCGGAGCAUGUGGCUUAAUUCGAAGCAACGCGAAGAACCUUACCAGGGCUUGACAUGCGGGUGAAGCGGCGGAGACGCCGUGGCCGGAAGGAGCCCGCGCAGGUGGUGCAUGGCUGUCGUCAGCUCGUGUCGUGAGAUGUUGGGUUAAGUCCCGCAACGAGCGCAACCCCCGCCGCAUGUUGCCAGCAUUCAGUUGGGCACUCAUGCGGGACCGCCGGCGCCAAGCCGGAGGAAGGCGGGGACGACGUCAAGUCAUCAUGCCCCAUGCCCUGGGCCGCACACGUGCUACAAUGGCCGGCACAGCGGGCAGCGGACCCGCGAGGGCGAGCGAAUCCCUUAAAGCCGGCCCCAGUUCGGAUCGGAGGCUGCAACCCGCCUCCGUGAAGCCGGAGUUGCUAGUAAUCGCGGAUCAGCACGCCGCGGUGAAUGCGUUCCCGGGCCUUGUACACACCGCCCGUCACACCACCCGAGUCGUCUGCACCCGAAGCCGCCGGCCCAACCCGCAAGGGAGGCGUCGAAGGUGUGGAGGGUGAGGGGGGUGAAGUCGUAACAAGGUAGCCGUACCGGAAGGUGCGGCUGGAUCACCU
rnacentral:rRNA from 1 species